CUCCAUCCCGCGGGUGAGAGGCUUUGCUCCCGUGGGGUUUGUCUCCCCACCCCCCGCUUCCCUCUCCCCCCCGCCUGACGGCACGGCCCAUGGUGGUGUGGCCCCGCUUGCCGAACCUCCUUCUCUUCCCCCGGCUCUGCGUUUUCCGUCCCGGCCCCGCCAUGAGCAGCGUUACCGGCACCCUCACUGUUCAUCAGCCCCUCAACUACCGGGCGGGCGGCCGCGUCCAGCCCGCCGAUGGCGGACAGGCCGAGGAGGUGUACGAGCCCGCCACAGGUCGAGUGAUAACCAAGCUGCUCUGCUCUGGGGAGAAAGAGGUUGAUCUGGCUGUGCAGAGUGCAAAGGCUGCCUUUAAAAUAUGGAGUCAGAUGUCUGGCAUGGAGAGGAGCAGAGUGCUGCUGGAGGCUGCUAGAAUUAUUCGGGAGCAGAGAGAAGAAAUUGCCACCCUGGAAACUAUCAACAAUGGGAAAUCCAUCUUUGAAGCCAGAGUGGAUAUCGACAUAUCCUGGCAGUGCCUGGAGUAUUAUGCAGGACUGGCAGGAUCUCUAGCUGGUGAACACAUCCAGCUUCCUGGGGGAUCCUUUGGGUACACUCGGAGAGAGCCCCUCGGGGUGUGUGUUGGGAUUGGAGCCUGGAAUUACCCUUUUCAGAUUGCCUGCUGGAAGUCUGGCCCAGCGUUGGCUUGUGGCAAUGCGAUGGUCUUCAAGCCUUCUCCCUUCACCCCUCUUUCAGUGGUGAAGUUGGCAGAGAUCUUCACAGAGGCUGGUGUGCCCAAAGGGCUUUUCAAUGUGGUGCAGGGUGGAGCUGCCACGGGCCAGUUUCUCUGCCAUCACCCAGAUGUGGCCAAAAUCUCUUUCACUGGCAGUGUGCCAACAGGCAUGAAGAUCAUGGAGAUGGCAGCUAAAGGGAUCAAACCAGUCACUCUGGAGCUGGGGGGCAAAUCUCCCCUUAUCAUCUUCUCAGACUGUUCUUUGGAGAAUGCUGUGAAGGGAGCCCUCAUGGCCAACUUCCUGACGCAGGGCGAGGUGUGCUGCAAUGGCACGCGGGUGUUUGUGGAGAGGAAGAUACUGGAUGUCUUCACCAAGGAAGUGGUGAAAUGCACACAGAAAAUCAAAGUUGGAGACCCACUCCUGGAAGACACACGGAUGGGAGCUCUCAUCAACCGGCCCCACCUGGAGCGUGUCCAGGGCUUUAUCAAGCAGGCAAAGGAGCAGGGGGCACAGGUGCUGUGUGGUGGGGACCUGUACGUGCCAGAUGACGCGAAGCUGAAGAAUGGGUAUUACAUGCGGCCCUGUGUGUUAGGGAACUGCACGGAUGACAUGACAUGUGUGAAGGAAGAAAUCUUUGGGCCUGUCAUGUCCAUUCUGCCAUUUGACACAGAGGAGGAGGUUGUGGAGAGAGCCAACACCACCAAAUUUGGCCUGGCAGGUGGUGUCUUCACCAGGGAUAUCCAGAAGGCUCACAGGGUAGUGGCUGCUCUCAAGGCUGGGAUGUGCUUCAUUAACAACUACAACAUCAGCCCUGUGGAGCUGCCUUUUGGAGGAUACAAGGCAUCAGGAUUUGGCAGAGAGAAUGGGCGGGCAGCCAUUGAGUACUACUCACAGCUGAAGACUGUCUGCGUGGAGAUGGGUGAUGUGGAAUCUGUGUUUUAGUGGCUCUGGGGCCUGCCUAAGGGAGCAUCAGACAGUUCUUGCCUGUCAGCCAGAGAUGUGGAUCAUUUACACGGCAAUAAAGUGCUCUAAAUUAUCCUGGUGGUACCAGAGGAGCAG